rnacentral:rRNA from 1 species
GUCAACGGCCAUAUCACGUAGAACGCACCUGGUCUCGUCAGCUCCCAGAAGUUAAGUUACGUCGAGUCCCGUUAGUACUUGGA